rnacentral:rRNA from 1 species
UACGAAGGGGGCUAGCGUUGUUCGGAAUUACUGGGCGUAAAGCGCGUGUAGGCGGGUCUUUGAGUCAGGGGUGAAAUGCCAAGGCUCAACCUUGGAACUGCCUUUGAUGCUGGAGACCUUGAGUCCGGGAGAGGUGAGUGGAAUUGCGAGUGUAGAGGUGAAAUUCGUAGAUAUUCGCAAGAACACCAGUGGCGAAGGCGGCUCACUGGCCCGGAACUGACGCUGAGACGCGAAAGCGUGGGGAGCAAACAGG